rnacentral:rRNA from 1 species
UCCCGCAACGAAGCAACCCUUGAUCUUAGUUCCAGCAUUCAGUUGGCACUUUAAGGUGACUGCCGGUGACAAACCGGAGGAAGGUGGGGAUGACGUCAAAUCAUCAUGCCCCUUAUGACCUGGGCUACACACGUGCUACAAUGGAUGAUACAGAGGGUUGCCAACCCGCGAGGGGGAGCUAAUCCCAUAAAAUCAUUCCCAGUUCGGAUUGCAGGCUGCAACUCGCCUCCAUGAAGCCGGAAUCGCUAGUAAUCGUGAUCAGCA